rnacentral:rRNA from 1 species
GUCUAUGCUGUCAACUAUGAGUGUUGCAUGUUGGAAUAUUAAUAUAUUUCAGUUUGUCAGCUAACGCGUUAAACACUCCGCCUGGGGAAUACGGUCGCAAGAUUAAAACUCAAAGGAAUUGACGGAAGUCUGCACAAGCGGUGGAACAUGUGGUUUAAUUCGACGCAACGCGUAAAACCUUACCAGUUCUUGAGAUGUAAAAAUAAAUAAUUAAAAAUUAUAAGAAUACUUUAGAAAAGUAUGGAUAUUUUUACACAGGUGUUGCAUGGCUGUCGU